rnacentral:lncRNA from 1 species
GCCCCGGAAGGGUAAGCAGAUCAUCAGUAGAGUUAAUUAAACGUAGAUAAUAAGAACUUUAACAUAAACAAUUACAGAAUUAAACCCAUAGUAGUGUACCAUAAUGAUAUGAUAUAGAACAAAAAUAAAAGAAUAACAAAAUACGCCGUAUUAUAAAGAAUAUCAAUGAUUAGAAUUACUAAAAAAACAAACUCAACGUACUCAACCUGUAUAUAUUGACCAGGAAAACA